GUGUUCCAUGUGAUUUUACCUUUUAUCAGCCCUUGCUCCUUGCAUAAUUCUCUUCAUGGCUCCUUGUGAUUUCACCUUUGGACCUUGUUUUUAUUUUUCCUUUGGAUGUUUUAUCCCUUGGACUCUGAGCACACUUGCAGCCUUUUCCAACUAUGAAGAGGAUGAUAAAAAAUAGAAGAGCAUUUGGACAUUUGUCUCUUUUUCCUGGCCCUUGGACUGCGAUCACCGUCUGAGAUUCCUUUUUCAGCCUCUGAAGUCCAGCCACCAAACGAGGAAGGAGACAAAAAGAAGGGGAUAAAACACAGUCACUUCUGGCUACAGGAGACAAGUUGGCUUCCACCAUAAUGCCAAUUUUUGUGGUCUUUAUAUUGGCAGUCCAUCAGGAGAUGGAUGACCUUUUGGUGACUACAUCCACUUUUUAUUCAGUCUGAGAGAAACUUGGAUUUACGAUACUCUGAUGCUGAAGGCUAAAUAGAAAUGAAAGGUGAUUGUUUAAACCUUGACUACACUCGGCUGAGGUCUUCCACAGAACACUUUCUGGAUUAAGAAAGUUUAUCUUCCCUGAGCAGGGCUCGUGACAUUUCCUCUGUCUCCUGUUGGCAGUACAGGUUCAGUCUUUUUGCCUCUCUCUAGUUUGAAAGAUACUGAUUCCACAUGACAUGAUUGAACUUUGACAGCAAAGGAAAGAAAUAUUCCUCGAGCACGUAAGAGGUGAUACGCGUAUGACGGCUCUGUGAUGCUUGAUAUGUAACCUGUAGGCAGUUUACCAUUCAGCUAUUCACCAUCUUCACACUGCUGCCCUUUUCCUUUACUCUCAAACCUAAUGUGGGGAUCCUUAGAUGCUGUUAUCAUCACUUACUGCUUUGCUCAAAGUUAGUUAAUCAAUACAAACAUGAGCUGUAGCUAUAGCACGUUGUACAAGUCAUAAAAUGCCUUAUAUAAUACGUCUGGCAAAUCUGGAACAAAGCAGUGUCUCAUUUAAACCUAGAACACUAUCGUCGGGUGAUUUCACCCACGCGAUUGUAUUCAUGUGAUUUUCAUUAUGUUGUUGAUGUCUGACUUGCAUGGGUCCUUAUAGGUAGCUUCUACUACAGUCUGCUCACUGACGUCAUCAGAGGUAGGCGUGUUUUCCGGUUUCAAUCUCUGUUUUUUCAGUAGCCCAGUGUUUGGGUGACUUUCACCCAACGUUAGUGGUUAAGUAUACAAUAUUUUUGGGUGGAUUUUACCUGACGUUAGUGUUUAAUUGAAUUAAUCAAUCUUAUUACUUCUCAAGGGGGACAAUGUUCCAACCACUUUAUUUAAUGCCCCAUAUCAUGCACAGCUAUCACCCCUGAGGUAUGCUGACUGUCCCAAAGGCUCGGACAGGAAGGCAAGACACAUGUGUCAUGUCUACUGAGCUGCCUGUACCGACUGUAUGUAAGGCAAAGGGUAAGUUAGAGUCGUCCUGGAAUUUACAUGUAAUCCUCAUUUAGUGUAAUGGUUAUGAAUAAAUAACACUUAGUGGUAAUGUCCAAGGGAAUUCAUAUGGUCAAACACAUUUUAUAGUCCCCUCUCAAAGAAAUUUCCAUUUUUGUAUUAUCUCUCCCACACUGGUCAGUCAUGCAGGGAGACUGUGCCUUCACCGGACAAGGCUCAAAUGUCUGAGAAAUGGGUGGACCAAAGAACAAGA